UCAAAAUAGUUUAGUAGUUUGGCAUCUGUUUUAGCAGUCUCCUGCGCUUCUUAUUCCAAUCUAGGUCAUCACAGCCUGACCCAGAUCCAGCUUCCGGGCUUUAUGUAACGCUUCGGAGGAUUGCAUAAUCACAGGCAAGGAGGCCUGUCUAUAGGCAUGGCCUGUGUCCCCUCAUCACAAAGAGCAGCGUGACAGAGAGCUGUGGAAAACACAGUGUGCAUUUUGCUUCUUGGCCCAGCCAAACAGAAAAUGUCUUCAACUGACUGGAAAAACAGGAGCGAGCAAAGGAAAAUAAGAAAGUUGGAGCAUUUUGUAUGUGCGCUGGUGUUUUUGGAGCAGGAGGUCAGAAGGCUUCUGCAAAUUCCAGCUAUGGAAGUGGGCUCCCUCGGUUCAUCCCUUUUUUAGCCAAGACUCACCGUGGAAAAGCAAAAGGUCUUCCUGGAUGUAAGUGGACGCCAUCACUUCUUUAGACAGCAAACAGAUCUGAAUUAACAGCGUAACUCCUGCCAUUUUGCCUCAAUUGCUUCAAGACAUGAAUUUUACAAAAAUGAAAAAAUCCUAAACAUCAAUUAAUGAUUAUCUUUUUUUUUUUUUUUUUUUUUUUUUUUUUACAAUUUAUUCCUUAUUUUAUUUGUAUUACUGUUUAUCGACCAUAUUUCAUGAACAAAUAUACUUAAUACUUCCUGGACUUAGAAUUUGUUUUAUUUCAUUCUACUUUCUUUCUUUCUUAUUGUUAUUGU